rfam:Salmo salar isolate Sally breed double haploid chromosome ssa14, whole genome shotgun sequence.
UGCAUUCACUACUGUAAGUCACUCUGGAUAAGAGUGUCUGCUAAGUGACUUAAA